AGCAUUGAAUUUAUGAAUUUGGAAAUAAUACCUUUAAAAGUCUUGAAUUUUGAUGUAUGGGUCUUAAAAAUUGUGUUGUAUGUCAGUGUUAAUUUCAUUGACUAAAAUAAUAACUUUUCUUCAACGACAUUUUUCACUGACGAAAACGAGACGCUACCUAAAUAAAACCUAGUUUUGAAUGACAAAAACUAUGAGGAAAAUCUAUUGACAUUUUCGUCAACGAAUAAAAACUAGAUGAAAAUGUUCGAUAGUGUCGAUCUGGGAAGCGAUCCAGUCAGAACUGAUGUCCUACGUGUGUCUAGCUAAUGUUAAAACACAACUUAACAUUGUUCGGCAAACUUUCUUGUGGCCUACUGAAAUGUUUUUAUUUUUCACACCUGCUUGGCUUAUCAUCUUUUACCCAUUCCACAUUUGAAAAAUAAAUUAACACAAGUUGAA